rnacentral:rRNA from 1 species
CAAUCAAACCGGGAGAUAGCUGGUUCUCCCCGAAAGCUAUUUAGGUAGCGCCUCGUGAAUUCAUCUCCGGGGGUAGAGCACUGUUUCGGCUAGGGGGCCAUCCCGGCUUACCAACCCGAUGCAAACUGCGAAUACCGGAGAAUGUUAUCACGGGAGACACACGGCGGGUGCUAACGUCCGUCGUGAAGAGGGAAACAACCCAGACCGCCAGCUAAGGUCCCAAAGUCAUGGUUAAGUGGGAAACGAUGUGGGAAGGCCCAGACAGCCAGGAUGUUGGCUUAGAAGCAGCCAUCAUUUAAAGAAAGCGUAAUAGCUCACUGGUCGAGUCGGCCUGCGCGGAAGAUGUAACGGGGCUAAACCAUGCACCGAAGCUGCGGCAGCGAACGUAUCACCCAAGACAACUUUACGGAGUUGACGAUUGACGGAGCGAAGCGACGUCAAAGCGUUCAUUAAAGUCGAGUUGGCUUAGGGAUACGUUCGUUGGGUAGGGGAGCGUUCUGUAAGCCUGUGAAGGUGUGUCGUGAGGCAUGCUGGAGGUAUCAGAAGUGCGAAUGCUGACAUAAGUAACGAUAAAGCGGGUGAAAAGCCCGCUCGCCGGAAGACCAAGGGUUCCUGUCCAACGUUAAUCGGGGCAGGGUGAGUCGACCCCUAAGGCGAGGCCGAAAGGCGUAGUCGAUGGGAAACGGGUUAAUAUUCCCGUACUUGGUGUUACUGCGAAGGGGGGACGGAGAAGGCUAUGUUGGCCGGGCGACGGUUGUCCCGGUUUAAGCGUGUAGGUGUGUGUUCCAGGUAAAUCCGGUUCACUU